rnacentral:rRNA from 1 species
GUGGGGAAUCUUGCGCAAUGGGCGAAAGCCUGACGCAGCCAUGCCGCGUGAAUGAUGAAGGUCUUAGGAUUGUAAAAUUCUUUCACCGGGGACGAUAAUGACGGUACCCGGAGAAGAAGCCCCGGCUAACUUCGUGCCAGCAGCCGCGGUAAUACGAAGGGGGCUAGCGUUGCUCGGAAUUACUGGGCGUAAAGGGCGCGUAGGCGGACAGUUUAGUCAGAGGUGAAAGCCCAGGGCUCAACCAUGGAAUUGCCUUUGAUACUGGCUGGCUUGAGUACGGGAGAGGUAAGUGGAAAUCCUAGUGUAGAGGUGAAAUUCGUAGAUAUUCGGAAGAACACCAGUGGCGAAGGCGACUCACUGGCCCGUUACUGACGCUGAGGCGCGAAAGCGUGGGGAGCAAACAGGAUUAGAAACCCGAGUAGUCC